rnacentral:rRNA from 1 species
AACUAGGAUUAGAUACCCUAUUAUAAGUAUAAAAUUUAAACUGUGUUGAGUAGAGUUUAUUAGUCUUGAAAAACAAAAUUGUUUGGCGGCCUAUCAAAUAUAUAGAGAAACAUGAUUUUUAAUGGAUAUUACACAAAAAUCUUACCUAAUGUUGAAUUAUUCAUUUGGUACACCGCCGUCGGAAGGAUAGUUUUAAAGGAUUAUUCUAUUUCUUUGUGAGAAGUAAGUCAGGUCAAGGCACCGACUAUAAUUAGGUUAAAUUGUGUUUCAUUAUUAUUAUUAUGUCUUAAAAUCUUAUUUAUUUGGGAGUUUUAAUACUGUAUAAAGGUAAAUGAAUCUAUAAGUAAAUUCUCUUUAUAAAAUUGAAUUGAAUAGUACUCUGAUUAGUGUACACAUCGCCCGUC